rnacentral:rRNA from 1 species
UACGAAGGGUGCGAGCGUUAAUCGGAAUUACUGGGCGUAAAGCGCGUGUAGGCGGUUGGUUAAGUCAGAUGUGAAAGCCCCGGGCUCAACCUGGGAACGGCAUUCGAUACUGGCUGACUAGAAUGUGGUAGAGGGAGGCGGAAUUCCCGGUGUAGCGGUGAAAUGCGUAGAGAUCCGGAGGAACACCAGUGGCGAAGGCGACUUCCUGGCCUGUUCUUGACGCUGAGGCGCGAAAGCUAGGGGAGCAAACGGG